rnacentral:rRNA from 1 species
UACAGGGGGUGCUAGCGUUGUUCGGAAUUACUGGGCGUAAAGGGCGCGUAGGCGGUUCAACAAGUCUGUUGUGAAAUCCCGGGGCUUAACUCCGGACGUGCAGUGGAAACUGUUGGACUUGAGUGCAGUAGAGGUUGGUGGAAUUCCCAGUGUAGAGGUGAAAUUCGUAGAUAUUGGGAGGAACACCGGUGGCGAAGGCGGCCAACUGGACUGCAACUGACGCUGAGGCGCGAAAGCGUGGGGAUCAAACAGG